rnacentral:rRNA from 1 species
GACAGAGGUUGCAAGCGUUAUCCGGAAUGAUUGGGCGUAAAGCGUCUGUAGGUGGCUUUUCAAGUCCGCCGUCAAAUCCCAGGGCUCAACCCUGGACAGGCGGUGGAAACUAACAAGCUGGAGUACGGUAGAGGCAGAGGGAAUUUCCGGUGGAGCGGUGAAAUGCGUAGAGAUCGGGAAGAACACCAACGGCGAAAGCACUCUGCUGGGCCGACACUGACACUGAGAGACGAAAGCUAGGGGAUCAAAUGGG